UGGGGAAUCUUGGACAAUGGGCGCAAGCCUGAUCCAGCCAUGCCGCGUGGAUGAUGAAGGCCUUAGGGUUGUAAAAUCCUUUUCGUUGGGGACGAUAAUGACGGUACCCAAAGAAGAAGCUCCGGCUAACUUCGUGCCAGCAGCCGCGGUAAUACGAAGGGGGCUAGCGUUGUUCGGAUUUACUGGGCGUAAAGCGCGUGUAGGCGGACUUGUAAGUUGGGGGUGAAAUCCCGAGGCUCAACCUCGGAACUGCCUCCAAAACUACAAAUCUGGACCUAAGUAGAGGCAAGUGGAAUUGCGAGUGUAGAGGUGAAAUUCGUAGAUAUUCGCAGGAACACCAGUGGCGAAGGCGACUUGCUGGACUUAUGGUGACGCUGAGACGCGAAAGCGUGGGGAGCAAACAGGAUUAGAUACCCAAGUAGUCCCUGAGCGGGCUGGCAAGGCGCAU
rnacentral:rRNA from 1 species